AUGUCGCCCCCACUUCUCCUCUUUGUGUCCACCAGAUGCGACCCAGCAGCGGAGCUGAAUCCCAGGCAGGGAGUUCCUAACCUGACUGCACUGGUCCAAGGCGAGGUGGACGAGAUCACUGUGGUACGGGAGUCCGGGGCCGCCAUGCGGGACCACGCCGGGGAGCCAGGCCGAGGGUCCGGGGCCGCCAUGCGGGACCACGCCGGGGAGCCAGGCCGAGGGUCCGGGGCCGUCAUGCGGGACCACGCCGGGGAGCCAGGCCGAGGGUCCGGGGCCGUCAUGCGGGACCACGCCGGGGAGCCAGGCCGAGGGUCCGGGGCCGCCAUGCGGGACCACGCCGGGGAGCCAGGCCGAGGGUCCGGGGCCGCCAAGCGGGACCACGCCGGGGAGCCAGGCCGAGGGUCCGGGGCCGCCAAGCGGGACCACGCCGGGGAGCCAGGCCGAGGGUCCGGGGCCGCCAAGCCUGACCACGCCGGGGAGCCAGCCCGAGGCACCGGGGCCGCCACGCCUGACCACGCCGGGGAGCCAGCCCGAGGGACCGGGGCCGCCACGCCUGACCACGCCGGGGAGCCAGCCCGAGGGACCGGGGCCGCCACGCCUGACCACGCCGGGGAGCCAGCCCGAGGGACCGGGUCCUCCAAGGGGAGGAUACAGCAGGGCAGGAGCCCUGUGGUUGCCGCCGUCCGCCCCGCCGCCUCCACUGAUGGUACUGUUGGGGCUCCGAGGACGUAGCCCUUGGAGGGGGGGCUCUGUCAGGAUUGCCUGCAGCUGGGCUCCACACCGGAAUGCAAUCCUGACGCCCCAUAAAUGCCGGAAGUUUCCGCCCGUUCGGGGUCGCUGGCAUUUUCGUGAACUUUAGUUGGUAACACUGUUCGUAAUUUGAGUUCUGGCAAUCGCCACACGCCUACGGGUUAGUUUCAGUUCCUUAUUUAAGUUAAAUCGUUUUCGGCCACCGCGCCAGUCUUUAUUUGUGUUUCUUUAUUGUUUAUUUGUUAAUAAAAACCCCUUCCCAACAUGUCA
rnacentral:lncRNA from 1 species